CUACUUCUGUUACAACUUUUUAUUUUUUUCUAGAUACAUUUGUUUUUAACAUGUGUCUAGACAUAAUGUAUUGUAUUUAGCUAAAACAACGGAGGGAGUACCAUUUUUAUGUUAUUAUUGUACGUGCUUCUACGCUGUUUUGUUGAGAAGAGAAGACAUUCCAUUUAAUUCGUGAAAUUUAUUUAUUUUCUCCCACAAUAUCAUCUCUAGUGUUAAAAUUCUUAAAAUUCACCCUCACUGCACUUAUAUUCUUAAAAUUCUUCUCAUAGUUGAUGAUCCGGAUUUUUUGUUGAGACGUCGUUCUCCUGUUACAGCAGAGAUGAUAUAGCAGCCGCUGCCCGCCGCCGCCGCCGCCGCCUCCUUUUUUUUUUUUGUUUAUCCCCACGUGGACUAUGAAGUCAGAUACAACGCCAGCAGCCUCGUGUUGGUUGCAUCCACGGAAUUCAGCAUCCAUAUCUGACAGCAGAUUUGUUUCCUGUCCAUAUCCAAUGCAAUACACAACAAACACACGCCAUUGUGGCAUUGUUUCAAUACCUAGGUCGCCUAGCGAGAUAGCGGAUCCUUGGACGAUCACUGGUAUUAUUCCAUGAAAUGCUGCCAACUAGCUAGGGAUGACAGAACUGCUUCAUGGCCUAGCUAUAUCUACAACUCUAGCUCUGCAAUCUGUACUUCUUUUUGGAUGUUGAUGGGGGUAGUUUCAAAUGGACAGAAUUGGUGUUUGGGCAAUGUACUUCCCCAGUAAACAACAGAUUCCAACGAGGCAACAAGUCCUGAUUUUCCUCUGGACAAAAACUUAACAAAUAUAGUUUCGCUACUGGGAGUGCCCAGGAGCAUCUUUUCUUUUGCACAUACUGUGAUCUCCUGCCAAUGAAAUUGACGCGUG
rnacentral:lncRNA from 1 species